rnacentral:rRNA from 1 species
UACAGAGGUCCCAAGCGUUGUUCGGAUUCACUGGGCGUAAAGGGUGCGUAGGCGGUCGGAUAAGUCUGAUGUGAAAUCUUCGAGCUCAACUCGGAAACUGCAUCGGAAACUAUUCGGCUGGAGGAUUGGAGGGGAGACUGGAAUUCUCGGUGUAGCAGUGAAAUGCGUAGAUAUCGGAAGGAACACCAGUGGCGAAAGCGGCUUCCUGGUCCGACACCGACGUUCAGGCACGAAAGCGUGGGGAGCAAACGGG